rnacentral:rRNA from 1 species
UACAGAGGCCUCGAGCGUUAGGCGGAAUCACUGGGCUUAAAGCGUGUGUAGGCGGACUUCUAAGUACCUUGUGAAAUCCCACGGCUCACCCGUGGAACUGCUUGGUAUACUGGUUGUCUUGAGCCUUCUAGGGGCGAGUGGAACAAAUGGUGGAGCGGUGAAAUGCGUAGAUAUCAUUUGGAACGCCAAUGGUGAAAACAACUCGCUGGGGAAGUGCUGACGCUGAGACACGAAGGCCAGGGGAGCGAACGGG